AACACAUGCAAGUCGAACGGGGAAAGGUAGCUUGCUACCUAACCUAGCGGCGGACGGGUGAGUAAUGCUUAGGAAUCUGCCUAUUAGUGGGGGACAACAUCUCGAAAGGGAUGCUAAUACCGCAUACGUCCUACGGGAGAAAGCAGGGGACCUUCGGGCCUUGCGCUAAUAGAUGAGCCUAAGUCGGAUUAGCUGGUUGGUGGGAUAAAGGCCUACCAAGGCGACGAUCUGUAGCGGGUCUGAGAGGAUGAUCCGCCACACUGGGACUGAGGCACGGCCCAGACUCCUACGGGAGGCAGCAGUGGGGAAUUUUGGACAAUGGGCGAAAGCCUGAUCCAGCAAUGCCGCGUGUGUGAAGAAGGCCUCCGGGUUGUAAAGCACUUUUGUCCGGAAAGAAAUCCUUGGCUCUAAUACAGUCGGGGGAUGACGGUACCGGAAGAAUAAGCACCGGCUAACUACGUGCCAGCAGCCGCGGUAAUAC
rnacentral:rRNA from 2 species